rnacentral:rRNA from 1 species
GGCCCCCUGCGGCAGCUCUCCCUCGGCUCACGAACAAAACCCCGGCGCGGGACGCGCCAAGGAACACGGAAAAGGAAAGGAGCACGCCCCCUCGGCCCGGGAACGGGGCGCGGGGCGCGUCUUCUUUCGCGAUGAACAAAAGAGCA